GAUGAACGCUGGCGGCGUGCUUAACGCAUGCAAGUCGAACGAUGAAGCCCAGCUUGCUGGGUGGAUUAGUGGCGAACGGGUGAGUAACACGUGAGUAACCUGCCCUUGACUCUGGGAUAAGCCUGGGAAACUGGGUCUAAUACUGGAUAUGUCUUCUCAUCGCAUGGUGGGGGGUGGAUAGAUUUAUUGGUUUUGGUUGGACUCGCGGCCUAUCAGCUUGUUGGUGAGGUAAUGGCUCACCAAGGCGACGACGGGUAGCCGGCCUGAGAGGGUGACCGGCCACACUGGGACUGAGACACGACCCAGACUGCUACGGGAGGCAGCGGUGGGAAAUAGAGCGCAAAGGGCGCAAGCCUGAUACAGCGACUCCGCGUGAGGGAUGACGGCCUGCGGGUUGUAAACCUCGUGCGGUAGGGAAGAAGCGAGAGUGACGGUACCUGCAGAAGAAGCGCCGGCUAACUACGUG
rnacentral:rRNA from 1 species